rnacentral:rRNA from 1 species
CGGGGAGGUUUGGCACCUCGAUGUCGGCUCAUCACAUCCUGGGGCUGUAGUAGGUCCCAAGGGUUGGGCUGUUCGCCCAUUAAAGUGGUACGCGAGCUGGGUUCAGAACGUCGUGAGACAGUUCGGUCCCUAUCCGUCGCAGGCGUAGGAAAUUUGAGAAGACCUGUCCUUAGUACGAGAGGACCGGGAUGGACGUACCUCUGGUGUACCAGUUGUUCUGCCAAGGGCAUGGCUGGGUAGCUAUGUACGGAAUGGAUAAGCGCUGAAAGCAUCUAAGCGCGAAGCCAACUUCAAGAUAAGAUUUCCCACCGCAAGGGUAAGACCCCAGAAAGACUAUCUGGUUGAUAGGUCGAAGGUGUAAGUGCAGCAAUGUAUUUAGCUUAUCGAUACUAAUAGGUCGAGGACUUGACCAAU